GAUAGAAACUACUUUACAGCAGUUGCAAAAGAGCAUAUAGCAAUCAAUGCAUGUCAAAUUUGAACUUACACCUGAUUUUCGGAGAAAAGUUUAAUUGAACGCCAUUUUCUUUGCAAGGAGAUCGAUCUCAUCAGUCACUGAGUGAGAAAGGAGAGUGGGAAAUAACACCAGCUCAGCAGGACAAGCCUACGAUUCUACUCUUUUUAGAAAGGAAACAGCAACCCUCAGCUUCCAGUCAAAGCAGCCAGAGGGGAGAGGAAGCUCUGCAAUGCAGACACAGCAACAACCUCACUUUCACUGACCAAUCACAGCCAAGCAGGGUAUGAGUGACAGCAGCAUCAACCAGUCACAGAGAGAACAGCCUCAGGAGUCUGCCAGCGAGAACAGCCUCAGGAGUCUGCCAGCAAGAACAGCCUCAGGAGUCUGCCAGCGAGAACAGCCUCAGGAGUCUGCCAGCGAGAACAGCCUCAGGAGUCUGCCAGCGAGAACAGCCUCAGGAGUCUGCCAGCGAGAACAGCCUCAGGAGUCCACCAGCAGCGAGAUACAGAGAUAUCCGGAGGACUAAAUGACAAUGACAGAGAAAGAGGUCAGAGAGAAAGAGAAAGUGAGAGAAAAGGUAGAACAGACAGAAAGAGAACGAUAUAGAAAGAGACAUGGUUUCCCUGCUUGAUCACUGCCCGUUGUGAGUCCUCUCAUUCGAACUCUUCUUACUCAGCAGCUGGCUGAGAUCCACCAGCUCCCCCAGCUCUCCUCUCCCCAAGGCCCCUCUCAGCUGAGACCUGCCAGGCCCGGGUGUGUGGUGCUGGGCUACGUACUGCUGGCCUUUGAUGGUGGGCAUGGAGGAUGGAGGUACAGGGACCAUGCCCUGGCUGCUGAGGAUGUAGCCUUCCUGGGGAGGCCAGCGGAGUGGCAGGGGCUCCCCAAACUCCAUAGGGGCGCUGGGGGCUGACACCACCCUCCUCCUAUCCGGAGAAUCCUGGGGGGUCAUGGGGUACACAUACUCCCCUGCCGACUUACGAAGCGCCGACUUUGGUGUCCCACUUCUGCCCUUCUCCCCCCGGGGCUUGCUCAGGCACACGUAGUGCUGGCGAGGAGUCUCCCCUACUCUUCCUCGCUCCUCACCCCCGUGCCUCCCUCCUCCUCCCCCCUGAAAUAGUCUGGUGGUCAGGUAGACAGCGGUGGAGGGGUGUGGGGGGCAAGGGAGAGGGCAGGGAGACGCCAGCCCCAUGGUACUCCCUCCCAGGUAGGUCUGGCUGUUAUCCCACCCCCCUGAUCCAGAAUCAGACAGCCUGAGUCCACGUCUUUUAUGCUGGGGCGUGUGCUCCGGAGUAGGCAGGAACCCUGGGUCCAGCUCCCCUGACUUCCCCCAGCCGUUGGGCAUCACAAACAGGGUCUCCCCGCCCUGAGAGCAGGGUCUAUCGCCUCCUCCCUGACGGGUCACACUGAGGACCGAUCCCCCCAUCCCUCCUCCUGACGUCAACAUCCCCCUCUCCUGGCGCUGGAUAGUGGACUGGGGGGUAUUGUUGCCGUGGCGACGGUUUCCAGGCUUGUGGGCCAUAAUCCAGCAGACAGCCAGGCCCGAGAGCGCCGCACCGAUGGUGAAGGCUGAGAUUGCAGAUGCCACCAGCAGGUUGAGGGAGACCAGGCUCUCUGGCUCGAUCAGCAGACUCUGCUGUAUGGCACCUUUAGGGGAGAGAGAAGACAAGAGAAAGGGAUCACUAAUCUCGGACACCUACAACUAAAGUCUUGUGUAACUGCAUCAGAUGCUCGAUUAAGUUCUUAGGGGGGACGUGUUAAGUCUCACGAGACUAGAUAAGUCCCCACCCCACUCAAUGAAAACUGUCAGACAUUUUCGGCCAAGCUAUGGGCCAAAUGUCACCUCCCCUUUGGAAUUUCAAAACGAUGCGAGCACCUGUGAAAUUGUGAUUUGUCCAAAUGAUCAGUGACAAAGAGUCAGCGUACCAGAACAAAGUUCCUUGCUAGUCGUUGUAUCCCAGAGUCGACAGAUGCUACACUACCAUUUCCAUUCCGUGCAUCUGUCCCCGAGAGAUAAGGCUAAUGGCAAGAGAGAAUAUAAAAACGCUUAACAUUAAACCAGUUAUCUCAGUCCUUUAUUCUCCUCUACCUCUGUGUACUCAUUCUCCUUUAUAAAUCUCUCCACUCUUGUUAUUGUCACAUUUUUAGAUGUUUUAUCCUUCAGAACCUAAACAUUAUUUGCCUGAUGUCAAGGAUUAUUAUUAUUAUUAUUGCUAUAUUGUAUUACCCAAGAGCUUAAUCUUAUUCUCUAUUACCGUAAUCUACCAUAACAUUUCAUAACGGCAACAGAUAAGCAUCACCUUUCCUUUGU